CCAGACUCCUACGGGAGGCAGCAGUAGGGAAUAUUGCUCAAUGGGGGGAACCCUGAUGCAGCGACGCCGCGUGGGUGAAGGAGUGCUUCGGCAUGUAAAGCCCUAUCGGCAGGGAAGAAGCAAGACGGUACCUGACUAAGAAGCCCCGGCUAACUACGUGCCAGCAGCCGCGGUAAUACGUAGGGGGCAAGCGUUAUCCGGAUUUACUGGGUGUAAAGGGAGCGUAGACGGCAGUGCAAGUCCGGAGUGAAAGCCCGGGGCUCAACCCUGGGACUGCUCUGGAAACUGUAAAGCUGGAGUGCGGGAGGGGCAGGCGGAAUUCCUGGUGUAGCGGUGAAAUGCGUAGAUAUCAGGAGGAACACCGGCGGCGAAGGCGGCCUGCUGGACCGUAACUGACGUUGAGGCUCGAAAGCGUGGGGAGCAAACAGGAUUAGAUACCCCUGUAA
rnacentral:rRNA from 1 species